GCUUAAGACUCAGAGAACUUGGCGGCUCGUUAACUACUCAGGGGAAUAUGCGCCUUAAUCCGAUGAUCCGCGUUACAUCUUACCUUACCUUGAAAAAGUACAGCUGGUGUAUUGCCGUUGUCAGCCUGUUGUUCGAGCAAAGCGAAACAGGCCCAAAGGAACUAGUCGAUGUCUAUUCGACAGAUGCCGUAAAUUCAGGUCGAAAUACUGCCUAUGGUACAGGGGAGUGGGUAUUACAAUUUGGAAUUAGAAUCACGGAGCUUGAAAAGAGGUGAAACCUCAGGUGAAGGUGAACUUGAGAGUAAGGGGAGAUUAAUAUGCUUCCCUGAACAUGUGCCUAACUUGUGUACAAACCGCCCGUCGCUCUCGGCGGAAGCUGAGAU
rnacentral:rRNA from 1 species